UACAAUUUCCACACAACUGAUCAAGAUGACAAUGAACCUUAGAAAGCAAACUGACAAAAACCAGUUUCAUUUAUCAUAGUAUACAAAAGAAAAAGUAUAUUGCAGUAUUGAUGCAACCAACUUUUGUCCACCAUUUAGUAGCUCACAGGCUCUCUGGUAAUUUUAUAAUGAUAAGAAAAUCCAUCAAAUGAAAAAUGAAUGUCCAAUAAGUUGUAUUAUUAGAGAGAACUUCUCGAUUAUGGACUUGGAUUAUCCCAACCUCAGUAUGAUGCCACGUAAAUACCCACCUUAUUGUGAUGCUUGCACCAAGUUCUCUUCUUUGUUCUUCUUGCCUCCAGAGAAUAACUUGUAUGCACCAAAGAAAAGCAAGCCCCAACCGGACAAAGAUGCAAUCACAAAAUGUUCUUCCUUCCAUUGACCAGGAUUCAUCGGUUCUUUCCAGCAAUUGACCUUAGGAGGCCCAUGAUGAUCAGCUGCGCCGGCAAGGCCGCGGCGCUGAACAAGAGACGCAGUGGUUGAGGAGGGGAUUCGAGUGAAGGCUGCCGCUCGACGAGCCGCCAUUGUCAACGAGGUAGCCAUAGCUUUGUUCUGAGAAGUGAGAUCGAAGGGGGAAAAAAUUGAAAUUG
rnacentral:misc_RNA from 1 species